AUUGCUUCGAGGCCUUUUGGCUAAGAUCAAGUGUAGUAUCUGUUCUUAUCAGUAUAUACUAAGUAAAGAUUUCAACAGACUGCACCCACACAGACAUAUAAAGUAUAAAGUACUGUUUGAAUAGUAGUUUUACCAUUA
ensembl:snRNA U2 U2 spliceosomal RNA